rnacentral:lncRNA from 1 species
AACUAACUAGAACUAGAACUAGAGGAACUAGAACAAGAACUAGAUGAACUAGAACUAGAUCUAGAUGAACUAGAGGUAGAACUAGAAGAACUAGAGGGAUCCUCUCUACUUGGAUGAAGAAUUGAAACCCUAGCUUUGAUUCUGUAGAAGAGUAUGAUCUACAGGGGCCAGGGGGUCUGGUUUUAUAGCCCUUCAGAUGAAUCUGGGCCGUUGGAUCAAACCGACAUUAAUCACAUGGUUUUCCUUGAUCCUUUAGGUCGGUGGAGCGUGAUCCCCGAAUUGGACACUGAUUGGGCAACAUAGGUUGGCGGGCGCCCUGUCCCUGAGUCCUCUCGGCCUCCGCUUCGGUCCCGUGGCUUCUGGAGUCUUCUAGAUGAUAGAAAAUUGCGCGGCACGUUAAUAUCUCUAUGUAAACCCGACGUGUGGGCCUUUCUUCCGUAUUUCCUGACAACCCCCUGCAGAAAUAGACAAACACCAAAACUCGUGGAAUUCUGUCAGAUAAAACCCUAAGUCUAGGUGUUGAUUGCAUUUGGAUCCUUUUCCAUGAUUAGUUGAUGGUUAAAUGUGAGCAUUAAGGACCGUCAACACUUAUAUAUAUCUUUGCUUAGUUUGCCAAAUAAAUAAAUAAAGUGUCUAGGCCAAACUGAACAUAAAUGAUAAACUCUUAUAUGGAUAUGAUAAAUUGUUGCUCUACCAUGUACCUAGUUUUCAAGUUUGAGCUCUCUCUUAAGUUUAGGCAUAACUGUUAUAAUUUAAACCUGCUCUAAACCUAAACUUGUGGGAAGAGUACUUGAUCUGAAGUCUAAGUUAUUAACGGAUAUGAUAUGGGAAGGUUGAGCUGCUGUUUAUCUGUUCCUAGAGAUGCUAGACUUCUGGAGAAUUUUAUCUUUGAAAAUCUUUAAAAUAAGACAUGAUGAGUUCCAUAUGAUGAGAGUUUAAAUUCCUACCACAGCCAUACAUACAUGCUUAUUAGAUUUUGAGCCACAUAUUUACUUUUACUACUUAUGAGCAUUGAGUGUGGUCAAGCUGUGUAGACCCUUAGGAGCUUGUCAUGCGGUUAAAAUCAAGAUCCACUUGCAUGUUCACUCACACAUGCUACAUCUACUCCGGAAGUACGCAUCCACAUAUAUCCACUCAUUUCCAUCUCCAGAGCCACACAAAAGUAUUCUACUCCUAAUCCGGGAGAGAAUAGCCAAAAACAUUCUCCUAUUUCAGUUUUUCCCUAUGAAAUAAAUGCUCGACUUAUCUUGGUUACUACCACUUGCUAUAUUAUUUCAGGAGAUGAGUGCUCUGAAAAAAAAGAAAAGAAAAAAGAAAAAAUAUAUAUACGAGGAAAUAAAAAGGGGCAAGUGCCCGGAACGUCGAAAGAAAAGAAAAAGUGAGACGCGAGGUAAAAAUGGACAAGUGUCCAACAGUAGAAUUAGGGGUACAAGAUACCCACCUCAGAGGAAAGAAAAAGAAAAUAUAGAGCAUCUCAUUCUCCUCAAAAAGUUUCAAAAGAGCAAGAAAGGUAUGUAUCCCUUUAAAAGAGCAAAAGUAGAAUUAGACUUUCACCAUUGUUAUCAUCAUACACCAUUCACUCGCCACACAUGCACAUCUUGAUUUGACUUAUUGAGUUGUUCUUCUGGAUCCAUGGUUUGACUAUGCAAUAAAUGUCUUGUAAGUAUGUAUUAUCUGUCUCCCACCUAUGAGCUCCAGAUAUCAAAACCUUAUUAGAGUAGGGUGAGAGAGAGAGCAAUAUCACUAUGCCUCAUACCAAAAAUACCACAUACUUUGAAAGAAGGCAUAUACCAUUACUGCCUUGGAAAGGAUCCAGAAAUACUACAAAAGAGAGAUUUGAGAGAAUCAUAUAAGGAAUCUCUGAGUUUUAUUUGAAAAUCUGCAAAAACUCCAGAGCUAUAGCUGAUAAAGAACAAGAGACAAGGCGCUUGACUAGACUAUUAUAUCUUUUAACUGCUCAAGACACAAGUGACGGUUGCAAGCCCCAUGGUGAAAGGUGAAAUGAAUAAGUCUUAACAGUUUAUUCUAACUCAGAGAUGAGAUCUUGCUUGAACGCAUGUGUACUUUUAAGGCAUGAAACUUCUGCAUCAACUUUUGAGUCUAUCCUUGCUCAGGGACGAGCAAGAGGUAAGCUUGGGGGAGUUUGUUGAUGGUCCUUAAGUACCAAAUAUAAUCAUCAAAUAAAUAAAGAAAAGGAUCCAAAUGCAACCAAUACCUAGACUUAGGGUUUUAUCAGACAGAAUUUCAUGAGUUUUGGUGUUUGUCUAUUUCUGCAGGGGGGUUAUCAGGAAAUAUGGGAGAAAGGCCCACACGUCGGGUUUACAUAGAGAUAUUAACGUGCCACGCAAUUUUCUAUCAUCUAGAAGACUCCAGAACCCACGGGAACGAACGGGAUGGUUUUCUUCAGUGGGUUUUGGAGUAGAUAAAUUCUAGAACCCAGUGAAGAAUUCUGUAUUUUCACUUCUAGAUUCUAGUAAGUUCUUGUUCUUAUUGUUCUUUGGUUUAUGAGUUUACUUUAAUCUCUUCUGGUUGAGUUUAGAGUAAUCAUUGCUAGCGUAAACAUGGUGUUUGGGCUAGGGUAAUCAUAGAUAUCCCUGACUAGCUGGACCGUGGUAGUAGCGAGGAACGUGACAUUUCCGAGUUACCUUUGCAGCCCACAUCUCGUUAGCAGGAUGGGUAGGGUUUAUAGGUGUGGGUCGAACAUCCUCUUUGGUGUCUAGAUUCCGUGAGCCUCUCCAAUAGAACAGUAGAUCAUCCUUACCAAGGUUAGAACGAGACUACGGUUGUAGUCUUCUCUAUACAUCGCUCACAUCGAAUCACAUUCUUUGUAGCCUAAAGGGUAGUAGCAAUAGAUUUGGUUAGUCAGAUGCACACUUUCUCCCAGUGGUAAAAAUAUAAAUACGAUACUCUGGAUAACCUCCCGGGUGAAGUGCUCACCGAUAUCUGUGCGCUUGCAGAUCAUUUCCUGAUGGCGUUACCAAAUAUCAAUAGGUGUUACUUUUUAAUUCCAUGGUAAAGCUUUUCGGGCAUGGAAAACUCCAGAGUAAAUGGGAAGGACCACUCAAGGUAAUCAAUUCAUCAUCCCACGGAGUUAUCACACUUCAAAAUGACGAAGGUACGUUAUUCAAGGUAAAUGGUCAACGUCUUAAAUUAUUUUUAGAGCCCAAUAAAGAAUUAGAAGAGAUAGACGUGAUCCAUUUCCACCUACCCAUGGAGAAUUAGAGCCCGACCUUUUUAAUCUGAUGUUUUUGGACCACGUAUAUAUUUUUCGAAUAAAUUUUGCAUCUAGAAGCAUGCUCGAGGAGGCGCGCCCACAGAGGGGCCAGGCACAGGGCGGGCGCCCUGAUGAUGAGGGCAGGCACCCAGCCCCUGUUUCCUCUCAGUCCCGAUUUCCUCCGUCGCGAUAAACCCAUUUAUGGUAAACUAAAUAAUCAUGCGGAUGGAAUGUUUCGCACGCAUGGCGGCAGGAGUAGCAUGAGCAAACCCUAGAGGCGCUUUUUGACCCCUAUAUAAACAGACCCCUGACAUCAGUUUUCAAACACCAAUUCAUUCAAGCCUUCUCUCCUUCUUCUAUUAGAGCUUGCUUAGUCCAUCGCUGCUCCAAUGGCCGAUGAGUUCCAUGACGAUUGGGAGGUCGUCCCCUUCGAUCUCAACAAGAAGCCCAAGGAAGACCCCGACGCCUACGCUCUCGUCCCGGCCAACACAGAGCGACAGCUAGCAGCCAUGCCAUCACGCCAGCGUAGCUCCACCCAAUCCUACCGUGCUCAACCAGUUCUCACCACACCACUGCAGCCCCUACUCCUCAAGGGACCAUCAGCCAAGAACGAGGCCACCGUCAAGGUGCCAGCCGGCACGAGGAUCCUGCCACCCAGGCCCAAUGAGCGGGUCGUCAGAGUCAAGACCAACCGGAGCAGCGAGAUCAGUAGCAUCCGCAACACUAUGAAGGAGGAGAGGCCUUACUUCGAGGGGGUUAGAGCAGCCAAAGUCCACUUCAUCCCUCCGAAGACAGCACCGAAGCACGCUCUCAAUGCUCUCGAGACACCUCCUAAGCGCCGCAAGACUAUAGCAGAUGUAGAUGAAGACGUUCGUAGGCUAGACAAGGUCAUCAUAGAGCUCCAGUCCUCGGUUAACUCUAUCAAUAGGCAGCUCCGACCAGAACACCGUUAUACUUGGUCUUAAGCAUGAUCUUGCUAGUGCCAAUAAGAAGAUUAGGGAGUUAGAGCACCGCUAAGUUAUCUAGAUUAGAUCUUGAUGCAGUGCAUUUUAAUUAUUCAUCUUUAAAUUUGGUUUAGACCUAUUAUUAGCUUCAGUUCAUUACUAGUCAUUUGUAAUAACUGCCUCAAGAUUAAUAAAGAUUAUUAUUAUUAUUAUUAUUAUUAUUAUGUCUUGUGUCUACUUUAUUUUUUAUGCAAGAAAGCAGAAAACAAGUAUGGGGGAGAUCCCUCGACAUGCCAAACGCACUUCGACUACGCCACUCCAUGAUUCAGGUACAUACUCUGUACAUGUUAUACAUACACAUAUAUCUUGGUUCGUGCAGAAUAUUGUCUUUGACAUGAUAAAUAAACAAGAUUAAAAUGUUUUUAAUCAUGAUUAAUCUCACUCUGUGAUAUUUCCUGAAAACAUGCAAUUAUUAAAAAAUCAUUUUAAAACCCUGUGUUACUUAAGUCACUAUGGAAUAUGAGAUGGUAGAGUAUGAGUAUCUUAUUCUUGAUAUCAUUGUUGCUUGGAGAAUUUAUUUCAAAAUCUUCAAAAAUUCUAGCUACCAUCCUCAGUGUUUUAUAUGCCUGCUAAACCUGAAAAUUAAAUAAUUAGAAAAGCUAUAUGCUCUGUAUUGAGUUUGUUCAAAGCGAGUUAGACCCUUGUUGAGAGAUUUAUCAUACUCCUAUGAUCAAGACAUUUAUUCAGAAAGAUUCACACUUCCGAAGUAUUAUUGCGUUAGAGGCAUGGGCUAUGCAAAAAUAUAAGUAUUUCGAGGAAAUAAAAAGGAGCAAGUGCUCGACAACCUUGCAGAAAAAAUGGAUAAGUGUCCGACAGUAGAAUUAGGGGUACCUCGGUAUCCACCUGAAAAAAAAGAAGAAAAAAAGAGAGAAAAUGAGAGAAAAUGAUAGUCCAUGGUCCCUCUAAUAAGCAAUAUGCCAGUAAGAGUUGACAAGUUUUUAAUUUCUAAAGUCUUUGAUAUAAGAGUAUGACAUUCCUCUCCUCGGAUCCCAUUUUGAUCAGGCAAUAAAUGCAAGGUAAGAAUGCUUGAGAAUUUCUGCAAAUUAAAACAACCUCAGUGAGAUAUAUAAAAGAUAAAUGAGUGAUCUGAGAGAACCUAUGAGGAUAAAGGUAUGCUAAUUUCUUUUUCAAAAACAUACAAAAACUCCAAGUGGCAGGAUUGAGAAGAAAGGACCUCUACUCUUGACCAUAUAUUUCCCUGACUACGGUACACAGUGGAUUUUUACAACACCCUGCAGGUAUGAAGAGAAUGUUUUACAAUAUUUUAACCCAAGAUAUUUUUUUAACCAUCCUUUUCUGGAGGACGAGUAAAAGCCUAAGUAUGGCGGUGUUUGUUGACGGUUCUUAAGUAUCAAUUUUAAUUAUGAAAUAAACAAGGAAAAGGACUAAUAUACAAACAACACUUAGAAUUAGGGUUUGAUCUGACAGAAUUCCACGAGUUUUGCUGUUUAUCUAUUUCUGUAGGGGGUUGUCAUGAAAUAUGGAAGAAAGACCCACACGUCAGGUUUACAUAGAGAUAUUAACGUGCACCGCAAUUAUUCAAUAUAUAGAAGACUCUAGAAGCGACGGGAACGAACGGGAGGCCGAUCGGGCCCGGGGGCAGGGCGCCCGCCCUCCCCCCUUGGGCGCCCACCCACCUCUAGUGGCCAAUCACGGUGAAUCACACGGAUUAUGCUCCACCGCCUUUGAGGAUCAAGGAGAACCGUUCAAUCAAGGUCGGUUUGAUCCGAUGGCCCAGAUUCAUUUGAAAAGGCUAUAUAAGCAAGGCCCCCUGGCCCCUGGAGGGGAGAAUCCCAUUAUUCAUUAGCAUAUUUUCCAGAGAGGAUUCAGAGAGAGAGGUUCCUUAGGGUUCCCACCUCAUAGGGCGUAGCAAACAAUGUGAGAGUAGACUAGUUCUACUAGAUUGAGAGAGAUAGAGUGGAGGUGUAGAUCGGAGGAAGCCCGACCUGUCGAUGUCUACUCCGAGGAUGUACCUGCGGGAUCAAGUCUCCUAACCCGAGGCUUGCGCCUAGGAUUCUUCAGUAUUUCGACUUCUAAAUUCUAGUAAGUUCUUUGUUUUAUUGUUCUUUGGUUUAUGAGUUUACUUUGAUCUCUUCGCGUAAAGUUUAGAGUAAUCAUCUCUAGCGUAAACAUGGUGUUUGGGCUAGGAUACUCAUAGAUAUCCCCUGUCCAGCUGGACCGUGGUAGUAGCGAGGAACGUGACAUUUCUGAGUUACCUUUGUAGCCCAUAUCCCGUUAGCAGGCUCGAUAGGGUUUAUAGGUGCGGGUCGAACAUCCUCUGUGGUGUCUAGAUUCCGUGAGCCUCCUCAACAGAA